rnacentral:snRNA from 1 species
AUCACUUCUCGGCCUUUUGGCCAAGAUCAAGUGUAGUAUAACUAUAUCUACAUGCAUACCCAUAUCUGUAUCUAUAUGGUAUGCAUAAAACAAUAAAUAUUCUGAAUAUUAUAUAUUCUUUAAGUGCAGGAGAAUUGUC